AAAAGUACAAAAAAGAAAAGACAUCGUGUGUCUUAAUUACAAACUACCCCAUAAGGAACGAAUUCGUUCCCUAAGUUUUUCCCAAUCCUCGUUCUGUCGGGAGGAAGUGAUGUUCAAUUCAGCCGCAACGUCAUCAUCAUCAACCUCCAGCUUUUUGUACUGUUCGACCAAGGAUUUAGUUCGCUCAAUUCCCUGAGAGGCGUUGCGCUUUUUAGCAGCCAUCCUCGCCCUGCAAUCGUCCAUUUUGGCUUGAAGUUCCCUCAUCUGAGCAGCCAAGUUAACCAUCAAGGAGUCUUCAAUCAUGACUUCGGAAGAGAUUUCUUGCAACUCGUCCUUAGCCU
rnacentral:lncRNA from 1 species